UAGGGCGUAGCCAAGUGGCAAGGCAGCGGCCUUUGGAGCCGCCAUUCGGAGGUUCGAAUCCUCCCGCCCUAG
rnacentral:tRNA from 1 species